GCGAGGGUAGCCAAGCCAGGCCAAAGGCGGCAGACUCAAGAUCUGUUCCCGAAGGGGUUCCCAGGUUCGAAUCCUGGCCCUCGCA
rnacentral:tRNA from 1 species